GACGAACGCUGGCGGCGUGCUUAACACAUGCAAGUCGAACGGAAAGGCCCUGCUUUUGUGGGGUGCUCGAGUGGCGAACGGGUGAGUAACACGUGAGUAACCUGCCCUUGACUUUGGGAUAACUUCAGGAAACUGGGGCUAAUACCGGAUAGGAGCUCCUGCUGCAUGGUGGGGGUUGGAAAGUUUCGGCGGUUGGGGAUGGACUCGCGGCUUAUCAGCUUGUUGGUGGGGUAGUGGCUUACCAAGGCUUUGACGGGUAGCCGGCCUGAGAGGGUGACCGGCCACAUUGGGACUGAGAUACGGCCCAGACUCCUACGGGAGGCAGCAGUGGGAAUAUUGCACAAUGGGCGGAAGCCUGACGCAGCAACGCCGCGUGCGGGAUGACGGCCUUCGGGUUGUAAACCGCUUUCGCCUGUGACGAAGCGUGAGUGACGGUAAUGGGUAAAGAAGCACCGGCUAACUACGUG
rnacentral:rRNA from 1 species